CCUACGGGAGGCAGCAGUGGGGAAUAUUGCACAAUGGGGGAAACCCUGAUGCAGCGACGCCGCGUGAGUGAAGAAGUAUUUCGGUAUGUAAAGCUCUAUCAGCAGGGAAGUAAAUGAGGGUACCUGAUUAAGAAGCCCCGGCUAACUACGUGCCAGGAGCCGUGGUAAUACGUAGGGGGCAAGCGUUAUACGGAUUUACUGGGUUUAAAGGGAGCGUAGACGGUGUUGUAAGUAAGAAGGGAAAGUCCGGGGCUAAACUCCGAGAUUGCUUUUGAAACUGUGUAACUGGAGUACAGGAGAGGUAAGCGGAAUUCGUGGUGUAGCGGUGAAAUGCGUAGAUAUCAGGAGGAACACCAGUGGCGAAGGCGGCUUACUGGACUGUAACUGACGUUGAGGCUCGAAAGCGUGGGGAGCAAACAGGAUUAGAUACCCGAGUAGUC
rnacentral:rRNA from 1 species